AGUGAACGCUGGCGGUAGGCCUAACACAUGCAAGUCGAACGGCAGCACAGUAAGAGCUUGCUCUUACGGGUGGCGAGUGGCGGACGGGUGAGGAAUACAUCGGAAUCUACUUUUUCGUGGGGGAUAACGUAGGGAAACUUACGCUAAUACCGCAUACGACCUACGGGUGAAAGCAGGGGAUCUUCGGACCUUGCGCGAUUGAAUGAGCCGAUGUCGGAUUAGCUAGUUGGCGGGGUAAAGGCCCACCAAGGCGACGAUCCGUAGCUGGUCUGAGAGGAUGACAACCCACACGGGAACGAGGACACGGUCCAGCUUCCUAGGGGAGGCAGAAGGGGGGAUAUUUGACAAUGGGGGGAAGGCUUGUCCAAGCAAUCCGGGUUGGGUGAAGAAGGCUUUCGGGUUGUAAAGCCUUUUGGUUGGGAAAGAAAGGAAGAAGGUUAUUCCCCGGCUGUUUGGCGGGUCCCAAAAGAUAAAGAACCGGUUAAUUUGUU
rnacentral:rRNA from 1 species